rnacentral:tRNA from 1 species
GGAGGUGUUCGAGCACCUGGUGGGCUCCCCCGCCUUCAAAGCGGGUGGUCGUGGCGAUCCCACGACGGCGGGUUCGAUUCCCGUCCACCUCCGCCA